UACGUAGGGGGCGAGCGUUGUCCGGAUUUACUGGGCGUAAAGCGCACGCAGGCGGUCUUUUAAGUUUGACGUGAAAGCUCCCGGCUUAACUGGGAGAGGUCGUUGAAGACUGGAAGACUUGAGGCAAUGAGAGGGGUGUAGAAUUCCCGGUGUAGUGGUGGAAUGCGUAGAUAUCGGGGGGAAUACCAGUGGCGAAAGCGGCACCCUAGCGUUAGCCUGACGCUCAUGUGCGAAAGCGUGGGGAGCGAACGGG
rnacentral:rRNA from 1 species